UGUGCUUACAAAUCCUGUUAUGCUAUUCAUUCCAUCCAGGAAGAGCACACACCAACUGCAGAUGAUUCCUCAGCCCGAUGAAGGGUAUCUAUACCCAAAAGCUUGCAAAGAAGAAUUUUUCAAACUAUUUGAGUUGGUCUAAUAAAAAAUACCGACUUUACCCA